rnacentral:lncRNA from 1 species
CAUCUGAUCAAAUAACUCCUGAUUGAAAAGACAGGCUGUGACAGUCUGAUCUGAACACACCUUCAUUUCAGAAAUAACUAUCAGGUAUCUGCAAGUCAGCUGGAAUAAUGGCUGGGAGAAGUGGGGGAGGCAGCACGGCUCGGAGUGGGAUCAGGGAGCUUCUCCCGGCUCCGUCUCAGGCUGCUGAUGGUGUUUUGCUUUGCACAUCUCCAGCUUCCACCUCCCUGCUGCUGGGUGAACUCUUUUGCUUGAGGUCUCUCUGCCACGGUCACAGCUUUGGCUUCUCUGUCAUUCUGGAAGCCUCAUGUUUGGAGCUGUCACGGAGUAAUUCGGUACAAGAAUCUCAUGGAUAUUUCUGCUUCUGGGCUUGUUAAGUCAUUUGUGCCCUGUCCAAAGAACUUCUAGAAUCCCCCACUUUUAAGCUCUUCAUCCAUCAUUGUGCAAAUGUUGGCAUUAUAAAGCAGGGUCCAAGCAACCUUUGUGUCCAGGUCUCCCUUGCUGCUACAAUGAAUUAAAGAGGUACCAGUAAAUACGAAGCCAGCAAAGAAUUUUCCAAGCCACCUAAGUACAGGCAGUAUUUUAAGCCAGAGCACUUCCUUUUCCCAACAGUAUCAUGGUGUCUAUAAGCCCCACAGAAGGGCUGAGCCCUCCCCCUUCACCACCUGGGCAGGUAAAUGAAAAUGUAACAGAGGACCUGCAGUGAUUGACUUUGUGCCAUUUUGAGCCUGACAUCUACCAAAAUCAGCCACUAGAAGUAUUUACUGAUAGACCAAGGUCCACAACCUGCUCUGUGAUAAAUCUGAACCCCCUUUGGUUCAGUAGGGAUAUUCUGGAUUUACCUACAUGUAAUUUAGAGCAGAUUUUGGACCCUGCCCAUGAGCAUUAUGCCUUUCCCUACAGGAAGGAAGAUUGAUUCUGACCUUACUUAAACUAAGCAGCUUUAAUCGUUCACUAUAGAAACACCAAGACUGGGCUGGGGGCUGGGGACACAGACAUGGGAAUCCUAUAAUCUUUGGUUAAGUUGUAAUGAAAUUGUCCAGGAUGAGAAGGAAACAGAUGGAUUCUGAUUAAUUUCUCACAAGUGUAGACCUCAGCAUCCGAUGUAACAUAUGUGGUGAGCAAAUGUCACUCAUGCCUCCAAAGUGCAGAAAAAAUCACUAUUGUCAGGAUAUAUUCAUUGGCAUAUUGGCUGCUGAACUCCCAAGGGUGCAAGGAUGCUGUGCAUUACAUUUAGUCCUGAAUUAAAUAUUCAGAGGCAGAGAUACCUAACCCUUUCCUGUAUGCCUCACUGGUUAUCACAGUUGAGCUUAAUGAAUUGAAAGAGGGAGGGGAAGGGAGAUUUCUCCCCCUCCUUUGUAAAUCAUUAUUUACUGU